rnacentral:rRNA from 1 species
AUUGAACGCUGGCGGCAUGCCUUACACAUGCAAGUCGAACGGCAGCACGGGUGCUUGCACCUGGUGGCGAGUGGCGAACGGGUGAGUAAUACAUCGGAACGUACCUUAUCGUGGGGGAUAACGCAGCGAAAGCUGUGCUAAUACCGCAUACGCCCUGAGGGGGAAAGCGGGGGAUCGAAAGACCUCGCGCGAUUAGAGCGGCCGAUGCCUGAUUAGCUUGGUGGUGGGGUAAAAGCCCACCAAGGCGACGAUCAGUAGCUGGUCUGAGAGGACGAUCAGCCACACUGGGACGGAGACACGGCCCAGACUCCUACGGGAGGCAGCAGUGGGGAAUUUUGGACAAUGGGGGCAACCCUGAUCCAGCAAUGCCGCGUGAGUGAAGAAGGCCUUCGGGUUGUAAAGCUCUUUUGUCAGGGAAGAAACACCGGCUCUAACACAGUCCGGGAAUGACGGUACCUGAAGAAUAAGCACCGGCUAACUACGUGCCAGCAGCCGCCGCAG